rnacentral:rRNA from 1 species
CCUUGUACACACCGCCCGUCACAUCACGAAAGUCGGCUGUACCGGAAGUCGGUAGGCUAACCCGCAAGGGGGGCAGUCGCCCAUGGUAUGGUCGGUGAUUGGGGUG